AUGUUGCUAACGGUAACUAGCUUGAUGUACAAAAAAGACGGAAGAAAACGGUAAACUAUUGCUAACGGAGAAAAGGGAGAGAAAAACAUGGUUAAAUUGUACAAAAACGAAUGGUUUUAGCUACAGUCGACAGGGGAACAAGCUCUUACGUUGGUACGUUGUUUGAUACACGGCAAGGAAUAAUAAAGGUCAUUCAACAACCAUCAGUUCUGGCCUUGUCAGUUUGACUGGAUGCUACAGUAAGAGCUUGACCGCUGCCAUUUUGCUACACCACAAGGGCUCAAGGUUUAACGGCAAUUCCCACAACGUCCAGCAGAUGGCAGAAGCAGGUCAGAGAAUAAAACGGUGAAAGACAUAAGGAAAAUAAAGUUGAAAUGGAGGAUUCAGAAGAAGACAUUAAUGAACAGUUUGAAAACAAAGAACAAAUAUUAAAUGAGCUGCAAGAUAAAGCUCAAAGUGACUCCACGGUUCCAAGGCGUUCAGAAAGAGCCAAGGUGCCAACGGAAAAAAUGCUAACUUAUCAGAGGGAAGAGAUAAGUAAAAAAGAAAAAAGACUAUUAACUCUUUAUGAACAAUGGAAAAUACGAGUGCCAGAAACAAGAGAAAGAUUAAAGUUGGACAUUUCAGAGAAAGAAAUGGCAGAUCUUGCAGAUGAUGUAGAGCAAAGAAAAGAUGAACUGCUAAAGUUGUACACUGAAAUGAGAAGUCACAUUGCACCUUCAUCAGACAUACGAAGAAAAACCGAUGCAUGUGAAGCAGUUACUCAUGACAUCGUGAAAGUCAUCCUGGAAAGAAUAAGUGGUGUAGAUGGAGCUUUUGAUGCAGAAUAUGAAAGAAAACGUCUACGGAGACUAUUAGAACAUGAUUAUGCCCAAUCCAUCUAUGGUUCAACUGCAGCAUCGAAACGUAGCCAACUGUCUUCAGCCUCACAUCUUGCUUCAAAACGAGCAGAUGCAGCAGCAGAACUAGCAGCAAAGGAAGCAGAGUACAAGAUUGUACAAGAGGAACAAAGACAGAAGAAAUGGAUAAAGGCUCUAGAAGAGGAGCAUAAGAAACAAAUGGCAGUUCAAACAUCCGAGCUGGAACGCCUGAAAGCCAAAAGGGAGGUGGAAGCCGCUCGCGCCAGGUUGGACGUCUACAACAGAGAGUUAUCACAACUUGAUGAUGCAUAUUCAGUAAAGAUGGAAAAGGCUCGGGACCAGCACUCCUGCAGAAAGACAUCAACUCAGUGACUUGAGAUAUGACUGCACUAUGCUGUUGCUGGUGACUCCAGUUAAUUCUACAAGACAUGCUGUGACACCAGGAGAGAUGAGUCCUCCGUCACAGAUGGUGUGGUCAGUGAAGAUGGUCGCCUGCAGGUUCAAGCUCAUUGCAUCUCCAACCCACAUCCACUGCCACUGUACUUAAGGGAAGUUAAAGACUUUCUUCUGCACUUAUAUUUGGAUCACCUCGAUCCAUGAUAGUCAUUCAGGCAGUAAUGCCUGGACUGGAAACAAGCCAUCCUUAAAAUAAUACAACAUUCCAGCUCCUGUGUUGGAAUGAAAAACAAAUGUGUUGUUUAAAUUAGAGACUGCACUUGUGACAGAACAAUAAAUAUUUUAUUUUGAUUAUAUAAGUAAUGUAAGUACAACACAAACUUGUGGUAGGCCUAAACUUAUUUUCAGAAUAAUUACAUCUGAGACUUUGUUUCAUUGUAAGAUUAUAACAGUGAUGGCAAUAUAAUUGUUUGUUGUUCAGCAGAACAGUGUCCAGUAUGUUGGCUGUUAUACUUUGUUGUGUUUGAAAAUAAAAGUUGGGCUGAUUUUAACAUCGUU
ensembl:lncRNA